CCAAAUCAGAGGCUAUCAGCUUGCCCCUCAUUCUCCCCAGCUCCCUCUCACAAGAGCUCUGGGCCAAGGAGCAGAACCCUUCUGGAUCUUGACUCCCAGCAAUAAGACGCAUAACUGGGCUCCAAAGUAUGAACUAGAGUUUUCUGGCACCCCCUUAAAUGUUGUGAGUCAGUCCCAGCCCUGGCACCCAGAUGUAUGGGAAGAUCUAUGGGAAUAUUAAAAAGAAAUUUCUAUCUGAACAUAUGAAAAGACGGCAACGUGUGAUUCCUUGGUCCUUUGAUGUUCUAAAGCCAACAUGGACUUGGCUCGCCGGCCGCAAAAAGGAAUGUUUCCAUAGGAAAGGCAGAGUCAGUGUCUGGAUCUACUACCUGAAAUGCAGUUCAA